UACCAGCACCCCGAGUGGUCGGGACGAUUAUUGGGCCUAAAGCAUCCGUAGCCGGUUCUACAAGUCUUCCGUUAAAUCCACCUGCUUAACAGAUGGGCUGCGGAGGAUACUAUAGAGCUAGGAGGCGGGAGAGGCAAGCGGUACUUAGUGGGUAGGGGUAAAAUCCGUUGAUCCAUUGAAGACCACCAGUGGCGAAGGCGGCUUGCCAGAACGCACUCGACGGUGAGGGAUGGAAAAGCUGAGGGAGCAAAACAGGGAU
rnacentral:rRNA from 1 species